rnacentral:lncRNA from 1 species
AAUACAUCAACUUCAGCAAAAUCAUUUCCUAUUCCUAAAGGUGCCACAUUAUUCAGGACAGGGCAGAGAGAGAACAAGCAAGAUGGAAAAGAUCUCGAACUGAGGCUGGAGGCCAGAAGCAGAAGGUCAGCUACUCAUGGUCCCAGAUGGCUGUGCAGCCCCAGGCUCCCAGUGUCAGGAAAGGAAGAUAAGGGCCCAGGUCCUGCUCUAAAGAAGAUCUGGAUGCCACCCAGCAGGCAGGUCCUUCCUACAAGCUCCACUUCUGGGAUGCCAUGCCCUGAGCUUCCUGUAAGCUCCACUUCCGUGAUGACCCUGUGCCGUGAUGCCCUGCCUUGGAGCCAGCUGACUAUGGACUGAACCUCUCCAAACUUUCAGGGUGGCCUUGAACUCACUAUGUAUCCCAGGAUGGCCUGGAACUCAAUGCAACCCUCCUGCCUCAGCCUCCUGAGUGCUGGGAUUAGAGGUGUAAUCCCACGCCCUGCUGAAGAUGACAUUUUACCUGCAACACAUUGAGACUUCAUAGUGCUUUCAAAUAUCUAUCCAAAAACCAACAUCCCCAAUCUUUUAUUUUGAGACAGGGUCCUGCUAAGGUGCCUAGGCUGGAUUGGAACUUGCAAUCUUCCUGCCUCAGCCUCCCACCUAGCGGGGGUUGCAGCCCUGUACCCUGGCACCUGGCUGCCAUUCUUACUCUUCCCAUAAGAUACCCUGAGGACUCCCUGUUUACCUCAUAUCCUAGGCCCCCUUUCCUCAUUAACGAGUGUUCUCCCGGUUAAAACAGCCUGAAUAAAACCUUAACUGUCUGGGACAUUUUGCUUUCGUGUUACAGGGGUUGUUAACGC